UACGAAGGGAGCUAGCGUUGUUCGGAAUCACUGGGCUUAAAGGGCGCGUAGGCGGCUUCGCAAGUCGGGGGUGAAAUCUUUCGGCUCAACCGGAAAAGUGUCCCCGAUACUGCGGGGCUCGAGGGGGAUAGGGGCGGACGGAACUUCCGGUGGAGCGGUGAAAUGCGUAGAGAUCCGGAAGAACACCGGUGGCGAAGGCGGCCUGCUGGGACAGUGCUGACGCUGAGGCGCGACAGCGUGGGGAGCAAACAGG
rnacentral:rRNA from 1 species